rnacentral:rRNA from 1 species
GUGGGGAAUUUUGGACAAUGGGCGCAAGCCUGAUCCAGCCAUUCCGCGUGCAGGAUGAAGGCCUUCGGGUUGUAAACUGCUUUUGUACGGAACGAAAAGCCUCUGGUUAAUACCCGGGGGUCAUGACGGUACCGUAAGAAUAAGCACCGGCUAACUACGUGCCAGCAGCCGCGGUAAUACGUAGGGUGCGAGCGUUAAUCGGAAUUACUGGGCGUAAAGCGUGCGCAGGCGGUGAUGUAAGACAGUUGUGAAAUCCCCGGGCUCAACCUGGGAACUGCAUCUGUGACUGCAUUGGUGGAGUGCGGCAGAGGGGGAUGGAAUUCCGCGUGUAGCAGUGAAAUGCGUAGAUAUGCGGAGGAACACCGAUGGCAAAGGCAAUCCCCUGGGCCUGCACUGACGCUCAUGCACGAAAGCGUGGGGAGCAAACAGGAUUAGAAACCCGUGUAGUCC